rnacentral:rRNA from 1 species
AAGAGGAGCCUGGAGACAGGUGCUGCAUGGCUGUCGUCAGCUCGUGUCGUGAGAUGUUGGGUAAGUCCGCAACGAGCGCAACCCCUAUCUUUAGUUGCCAUCAUUGAGUUGGGCACUCUAAAGAGACUGCCGGGUGUCAAACCCGGAGGAAGGUGGGGAUGACGUCAAGUCCUCAUGGCCUUUAUGACCAGGGCUACACACGUACUACAAUGGCCGGUACAAAGGGCAGCGACACAGCGAUGUGAAGCCAAUCCCGAAAAGCCGGUCUCAGUCCGGAUUGGAGUCUGCAACUCGACUACGUGAAGUUGGAAUCGCUAGUAAUCGCGGAUCAGCACGCCGCGGUGAAUACGUUCCCGGGCCUU